rnacentral:lncRNA from 1 species
CGAGUAACCCGCGGAGCCAGAAGAGGGAGGAAAGGAGAUGAGAUUUCAUCAUGUUGGCCAGCCUGGUCUCAAACUCCUGACCUCAAGUGACCCGCCUGCCUCAGCCUCCCAAAGUGCUGGGAUUACAGGAAUUUAGUGAUUGACAAUGGCAGAAAAAAUCCUAGAGAAGUUGGAUGUCCUUGAUAAGCAAGCAGAGAUAAUCUUGGCCAGAAGAACAAAGAUAAACAGGCUUCAGAGUGAAGGAAGAAAAACAACUAUGGCUAUACCCCUGACAUUUGAUUUUCAGUUGGAAUUUGAAGAAGCUCUUGCUACAUCCGCGUCUAAGGCAAUAUCAAAGAUCAAAGAAGACAAGUCAUGCAGCAUUACAAAAUCAAAAAUGCAUGUCUCUUUCAAAUGUGAGCCUGAACCUAGAAAGAGUAAUUUUGAAAAGUCAAAUUUAAGACCAUUCUUUAUUCAAACAAAUGUAAAAAAUAAAGAAAGUGAGUCAACAGUGAUCUUUUAAAAGUAGGCUGAUCCUGAUUAAAGCCUCUUCAGCGGAUUCUCAUUGUACUUAGUAUGAAACUUGUACUUCUUACAAAGACCUGGCCGGGCACGGUGGCUCAUGGCUGUAAUCCCAGCACUUUGAGAUGCCAAGAGCCAGUAGAAGAACAUCUAAAAUCAAGAUCUAUUAGACCCUAUCUUUAUCUUAAGGAUACAACUGAGAUGGAAAAUGCAGGGCCUUUGAAUGUUCUAUAUUCACAGCAUAGACAAGCAUGUAGAAGAUCACUGGGUUCUACAGACUUUUCUCCUAUGUUCAACAUUCAGUCUAAUGCUCAUAAAAAGGAAAAAGACUCUACUUUAUUUACAGCUCAAAUUGAAAAAAAACCUAGGAAACCAUUGGAUUCUGUUGGUCUCUUAGAAGGUGAUAGAAAUAAAAGGAACAAAAGGACACAAAUCCCAUAAUUUUCCAUGACACAGAAUAUGUACGAAUGUUACUUUUGACAAAAAAUAGAUUUUCUUCUCAUCCUUUGGAAAAUGAAAACAUUUACCCACAUAAAAGAACAAAUUUCAUUUUAGAAAGAAAUUGUGAAAUCCUCAAAUCUAUAAUUGGCAAUCAAUCUAUUUCUCUUUUCAAACCCCAAAAAACUAUGCCUACAGUACAGAGAAAAGAUAUACAGAUCCCUAUGUCUUUUAAAGCGGGCCACACAACUGUAGAUGAUAAACUAAAGAAGAAAACUAAUAAGCAGACACUAGAAAACAGAUCUUGGAAUACACUCUAUAAUUUCUCACAGAAUUUUUCUAGCCUAACAAAACAAUUUGUGGGUUACCUUGAUAAAGCUGUUAUUCAUGAAAUGAGUGCCCAAACUGGAAAAUUUGAAAGAAUGUUUUCUGCAGGAAAACCAACGAGCAUACCCACAUCCAGUGCCUUACCUGUCAAAUGUUACUCAAAGCCUUUUAAAUAUAUAUAUGAACUAAAUAAUGUAACGCCACUGGAUAAUUUGUUAAACUUAUCAAAUGAAAUUUUAAAUGCCUCAUAAAAUAUUAUGUAUGCAGCAAUAUUUGAGUAACAAGAAGCAAAUAUCCAAGUUCCAAAAUUAUAAAAGAAAUUCUUAUCCAAAUAGUAAUGUUCUAAUUGAUCAUAUAAGAAAGCAAAGCAUAGACAUUAGAAUUAUAAGUCAGCAGUGGUCUGUUCAAGAACAAUCAACAUUUUUAGAAAAUAGUAGGACAAAAUUAGGAAAUAAUUAUCACCAAGAGGAUCUAGUUCAUGACUUUCUAUUAUCUCAAUUAGAUUGCUCAAUCAUCAGCCUUCCUAUACUAAACUCUGAUUCAGGACCAAGAAAGGCAUAGUCUGACUCUGGAAAUGCGCUGUUGGAAGCCAAAUAACAUCAAUACUCUUGUUCUAUAAUUGAAUAUCAAAUAAGACAAAUUACCAUUAAUUUAAUGACUGUGGAGUUAAUUGUAUACCAGCAUUUCAGCAAAUCAUCAUCAAUAGUAUUACAUUAGCAAUUUAUGCAAUUAAAAGGGCUUUGUAAAACUUUGAAUAGAUUUUAUUGUCAUUAGUAGCUGUUGGAACUUCAUUAUUAUAUAAUGUUUUUGCAAACUUUAACUUUUUUCUAAAUUGUUAAAUAAAAGAAUAACUAUCCUUAAUCUAAAUAAUUUUGGUAGCAAAUCCUAUAAGGUAUUAAACAUUUUAAGGUAUAUUAUUACAUUGCUAUUUUACUGUUUCUCAUUAACCCAAACAGUUUAAAGGCAGAAUUCCACUUAGAAACAAGUUGCAUUUUGAAAGUUUAUUUGUAAUCCAUUUGUUUGGAAUUCAGAAAUGUAUUUCACAUAAAAAUAAUCUUGGAAGUAAUAAAUUCCAAAAUU